rnacentral:rRNA from 1 species
UACGAAGGGGGCUAGCGUUGCUCGGAAUCACUGGGCGUAAAGGGUGCGUAGGCGGGUCUUUAAGUCAGAGGUGAAAUCCUGGAGCUCAACUCCAGAACUGCCUUUGAUACUGAGGGUCUUGAGUAUGACAGAGGUGAGUGGAACUGCGAGUGUAGAGGUGAAAUUCGUAGAUAUUCGCAAGAACACCAGUGGCGAAGGCGGCUCACUGGGUCAUUACUGACGCUGAGGCACGAAAGCGUGGGGAGCCAAACA